AGUUUUCUACUCGUACCUUUUGCAUCAUGAUUUAGCAAGAAAACUACAAGCAAAGAGCCCUUUAGUUUGUAACCCCGAAACUGAGCGAGCUACUCCAAGACAGCCUAUAAAGGGCAAACCCGUCUCUGUGGCAAAAGAGUGGGAAGAGCUUUGAGUAGAGGUGACAAACCUACCGAGCCCAGUUAUAGCUGGUUGCCUGUGAAAUGAAUAGGAGUUCAGCCCUUUAAGUCUUUCCCCCCUCACCCAUGCUUACGCUAAAAUUGAUUAAGGAAACUAAAGGCGUUAAUCAAAAGGGGUACAGCCCUUUUGAUAGAAGAAACAACUUUAACAGGUGACCCAAGAUCAUAUUACCCAAGGAUUUCAAAUUAAGUGGGCCUAAAAGCAGCCAUCUUAUCAGAAAGCGUUAAAGCUCAAAUUAGCCUAUAUCCUCAUAUACUGAUAUUACAUCUCCCUCCCUGCCCCUUACCAGGCUGUCUUAUGCCCCCAUAAGAACAAUUAUGCUAAAAUGAGUAAUAAGAAGAAUUUAAUUCUUCUCCUAGCACAUGUGUAAGUCGGAACGGACCUCCCACCGACUAUUAAUCGACCCCAAACCCAGAGGGUAAUAGGUCAAAAAAACAAGAAAAACACCUAUUUUAUAUCGUUAACCCCACACAGGUGUGCCUAAAGGAAAGACUAAAAGAGAAGGAAGGAACUCGGCAAACACAAGCCUCGCCUGUUUACCAAAAACAUCGCCUCUUGCUCCAAAAAUAUAAGAGGUCCCGCCUGCCCUGUGACUAUAAGUUUAACGGCCGCGGUAUUUUAACCGUGCGAAGGUAGCGUAAUCACUUGUCUUUUAAAUGAAGACCUGUAUGAAUGGCAUCACGAGGGCUUAGCUGUCUCCCAUCUCCAGUCAAUGAAAUUGACCUCCCCGUGCAGAGGCGGGGAUAAUUACAUAAGACGAGAAGACCCUAUGGAGCUUUAGACCUAAAGUAAGUCACGUUUAACAUGCUGUGAUAACAGUAAAAACUUAGUGAUAUUUACUGAAGUGUCUUUGGUUGGGGCGACCGCGGGGUAAAACACAACCCCCAUGUGGACCGGGGAUAUUAUCCCUAAUACUCAGAGCCUCUACUCCAAGUAACAGAAAUUCUGACUUUUCUGAUCCGGUAUAACCGAUCAACGAACCGAGUUACCCUAGGGAUAACAGCGCAAUCCCCUCUCAGAGCCCAUAUCGACGAGGGGGUUUACGACCUCGAUGUUGGAUCAGGACAUCCUAAUGGUG
rnacentral:rRNA from 1 species